GCUCGAUGAGUAGGGCGGGACACGUGGUAUCCUGUCUGAAUAUGGGGGGACCAUCCUCCAAGGCUAAAUACUCCUGACUGACCGAUAGUGAACCAGUACCGUGAGGGAAAGGCGAAAAGAACCCCGGCGAGGGGAGUGAAAAAGAACCUGAAACCGUGUACGUACAAGCAGUGGGAGCCUCUUAAUGGGGUGACUGCGUACCUUUUGUAUAAUGGGUCAGCGACUUAUAUUCUGUAGCAAGGUUAACCGAAUAGGGGAGCCGAAGGGAAACCGAGUCUUAACUGGGCGUUAAGUUGCAGGGUAUAGACCCGAAACCCGGUGAUCUAGCCAUGGGCAGGUUGAAGGUUGGGUAACACUAACUGGAGGACCGAACCGACUAAUGUUGAAAAAUUAGCGGAUGACUUGUGGCUGGGGGUGAAAGGCCAAUCAAACCGGGAGAUAGCUGGUUCUCCCCGAAAGCUAUUUAGGUAGCGCCUCGUGAAUUCAUCUCCGGGGGUAGAGCACUGUUUCGGCAAGGGGGUCAUCCCGACUUACCAACCCGAUGCAAACUGCGAAUACCGGAGAAUGUUAUCA
rnacentral:rRNA from 1 species